rnacentral:rRNA from 1 species
GACGAACGCUGGCGGCGUGCUUAACACAUGCAAGUCGAACGGGAUGAUCUUAAAGCUUGCUUUUCGAGAAUCUAGUGGCAAACGGGUGAGUAACACGUAGACAACCUGCCGACAGGAUGGGGACAACAUUCCGAAAGGAAUGCUAAUACCGAAUGAAGCGGAGGAGAGGCAUCUCUCCUCCGUGAAAGAUGGCCUCUUUUUAUGCUAUCACCUGUCGAUGGGUCUGCGUCUGAUUAGCUGGUUGGUGAGGUAACGGCUCACCAAGGCGACGAUCAGUAGCCGGUCUGAGAGGAUGAACGGCCACAUUGGGACUGAGACACGGCCCAGACUCCUACGGGAGGCAGCAGUGGGGAAUCUUCCGCAAUGGGCGCAAGCCUGACGGAGCAACGCCGCGUGAGUGAAGAAGGUCUUCGGAUCGUAAAGCUCUGUUGACGGGGACGAACGUGCGAGAGGUGA